ACUCAUGUAAUUUAAGGAAGUGUCAUAUUUUAGUUUAAAUAUCCAAUCUGUGUGUGUGUGAUUGUGACUAAUUUUUCUGUUUAAUUGGCAGAUUUGAAAGUUUGUUCUAGUGGGAAAAAGAAGGGAAUUGUUUAUGUGGUUGUUGGAGCCGUUGGAGCAUCAUGCCUGGUUGCCAUUAUACUGGUAAUUCUUUGGUGGGAAGGAAACUUGCCAGGAAAAUUGCGCAGGAAAAGAGGUCAAGAAAACAAUCAGCUUAAUCUGGAUUGGCCUACAAGGCUUAAGAUCUGUAUUGGGAUAGCUAGAGGUCUAGCUUUUCUCCAUGAAGAAUCAAGACUUAAGAUCGCUCACAGAGACAUCAAAGCUACAUAUGUGCUACUUGAUGGGAAUCUGAAUCCUAAAAUAUCUGAUUUUGGAUUGGCUAGGCUUGAUGAAGAAGAGAAGAGCCACAUCAGCACCCGAGUUGCUGGAACCAUAGGAUAUAUGGCACCAGAAUAUGCACUAUGGGGUUACUUGACUGACAAAGCAGAUGUUUACAGUUUGGGGUUGUUGCUUUGGAAAUUAUU